rnacentral:rRNA from 1 species
GACGAACGCUGGCGGCGUGCUUAACACAUGCAAGUCGAACGGAAAGGCCCUGCUCUUGUGGGGUGCUCGAUUGGCGAACGGGUGAGUAACACGUGAGUAACCUGCCCUUGACUUUGGGAUAACUUCAGGAAACUCGGGCUAAAACCGGAUAGGAGCUCCUGCUGCAUGGUGGGGGUUGGAAAGUUUCGGCGGUUGGGGCUCGACUCGCGGCUUAUCAGCUUGUUGGUGGGGUAGUGGCUUACCAAGGCUUUGACGGGUAGCCCGCCUGAGAGGGUGACCGGCCACAUUGGGACUGAGAUACGGCCCAGACGCCUACGGGAGGCAGCAGUGGGGAAUAUUGCACAAUGGGCGGAAGCCUGAUGCAGCAACGCCGCGUGCGGGAUGACGGCCUUCGGGGUGUAAACCGCUUUCGCCUGUGACGAAGCGUGAGUGACGGUAAUGGGUAAAGAAGCACCGGCUAACUACGUG